rnacentral:rRNA from 1 species
CAGUGGGGAAUAUUGCACAAUGGGGGAAACCCUGAUGCAGCGACGCCGCGUGAGCGAAGAAGGCCUUCGGGUUGUAAAGCUCUGUUCUAAGGGACGAAGGACUUGGCUGUGAAUAAUGGUCAAGGGUGACGGUACCUUAGGAGAAAGCCCCGGCUAACUACGUGCCAGCAGCCGCGGUAAUACGUAGGGGGCGAGCGUUGUCCGGAAUUACUGGGCGUAAAGAGCGUGUAGGCGGGUGCUUAAGUCAGGUGUGAAAGACCGGGGCUCAACUCCGGGGUUGCACUUGAAACUGGGCAUCUUGAGGGCAGGAGAGGAAAGCGGAAUUCCUAGUGUAGCAGUGAAAUGCGUAGAUAUUAGGAGGAACACCAGUGGCGAAGGCGGCUUUCUGGACAGUAACUGACGCUGAGGCGCGAAAGCGUGGGGAGCAAACA